rnacentral:rRNA from 1 species
UACGGAGGGUGCGAGCGUUGUCCGGAAUCACUGGGCUUACAGGGUGCGUAGGCGGCCUUCCAAGUCAGGUGUGAAAUCCCACAGCUCAACUGUGGAACAGCGCUUGAAACUGGUUGGCUUGAGUCAGCUAGAGGUACACGGAACUUCCGGUGGAGCGGUGAAAUGUGUUGAUAUCAGGAGGAACACCCGUAGCGAAGGCGGCACUCUGGGCCGAUACUGACACUGAGGAGCGAAAGCGUGGGGAGCGAACAGG